CCGAGGUUUCCUAGAUUUGUGUUUUAGUUUAUUUAUCACUGGAUCCCAACUAGAUGGCAGCACCCAACCAUCUUCGCGGUUAAAAUUUGGGUACUUUUUA